rnacentral:rRNA from 1 species
CAGCAGCCGCGGGAAUACGUAGGGUGCAAGCGUUAAUCGGAAUUACUGGGCGUAAAGCGUGCGCAGGCGGUUAUAUAAGACAGAUGUGAAAUCCCCGGGCUCAACCUGGGAACUGCAUUUGUGACUGUAUAGCUAGAGUACGGCAGAGGGGGAUGGAAUUCCGCGUGUAGCAGUGAAAUGCGUAGAUAUGCGGAGGAACACCGAUGGCGAAGGCAAUCCCCUGGGCCUGUACUGACGCUCAUGCACGAAAGCGUGGGGAGCAAACAGGAUUAGAUACCCCCGUAGUCCCUGUCUCUUAUCC